CCUAAGGCUCUUUUAAGAGCCAUCCACAUUUUUUUAUUUCACCUUU
rfam:Salmo salar isolate Sally breed double haploid chromosome ssa12, whole genome shotgun sequence.